UACGUAGGGGGCUAGCGUUGUCCGGAAUCAUUGGGCGUAAAGAGCGUGUAGGCGGCCCGGUAAGUCCGCUGUAAAAGUCAAAGGCUCAACCUUUGAAUGUCAGUGGAUACUGCCGGCUAGAGUCCGGAAGAGGCGAGUGGAACUCCUGGUGUAGCGGUGGAAUGCGCAGAUAUCAGGAAGAACACCAACGGCGAAGGCAGCUCGCUGGGACGGUACUGACGCUGAGACGCGAAAGCGUGGGAGCAAACAGG
rnacentral:rRNA from 1 species